UGGGGGGAGCACGAGACAGGAGGAUUGAGGGGUGUCCCGCGACCUGAGCGGGAAAAUUACUGCUCUCGAGACCCCUGAAACCAAUAUAAAAGGAGGGGAUCUCAGCGCAUUGACACACUGGUGCCCUUUCGGUGAGCAAAACUUCUCUCUCCUCCUGCCCUGCUGUCAAGAGCUGUAAACAUUAAGCGGGAGCAGGGGAGAGGAAGGAGCCUCAGUCCAGGGGGAAAAGCACCUGAAGAUCGGGCAAGAAGAGGAGCCGGACGAGAGUGGAGGCGAUGAAGCGGUAGCCAGGUGAAGAUUGAAGAUUGCAGCAGAGAUCAUCAAGAGCGGAGACCGAGGAGGCAAGCACAGCGGGAGACACACAACAUACUCGGUACAUCGUGGUAAGAUAACCCACCUUAAUAGCUCCAGUGUCUAGCGCUGCUCCCCGCUAAAAGCUUCUACUGUCAGUACAGAUGCUCCGCUUGUACCGCUGCUGCUGAUCCCACCUGCCGGCACUGCCCACCGCAUUCACAUGUUAGAAGCGGCCGCCCAAGCUCCGCCUUGUACAGCCUCCCAUGCCGCUAUCUCUGCCUGCCGGAGCCGCUUACAGUCUCCGCUCCAUGCUAGAAGCCGCCGCCCAAGCUCCGCCUGGUAAAGCCUCCCAUGCCUCUAUCUCCGCCUGCAGGAGCCUCUUACAGUCUCCGCUCCAUGAUAGAAGCCGCCGCUCAAGCUCCGCCUGAAAGAGCCGCCUCUGCCUAUAUCCCCGCCUGCCGGAGACAAUUACCUGUUUCACUAUAGAUAUGAAGAUGCAUCCCACACACUAACUGUUAGCGCUUCACAAAGAUUUACAGUCCCGCUGCGCUGAUAAUCUAGAUGGCAUUUUCCCAGCUUCUUAUGCAACGCCUAUCACAAUCCCUGAGUGCACCUGUCCACGUUGACUGACAGCAUCAUGCCCACUGGUAGCCAUAGUUACUGACAGGUCUCCAGUGACUGCCAAUGAGAGUGAGCGGGGGUUUGGUCAAUAUUGAACUGCAAAGGCAAUGGGCAGGAGCCCCAUUGUGAAGACAACGCAGGUUUGUGGAGAUUAAAUCUAUCCCGCUCGCUGGCUCUCAGACCUUCCACGCCAUCACAGACAUGACGGGCCGCUACGUGAACCUCAUACUACGUGGAAAGACCGGAUUUCUAACUUUUUGUGAAGUUCAGAUUUUCGGCGUUCCUGUAUCUAAUGAAUGCGGUAAUUAAUGAUCACAUUUACAGAUAACAAUGAAGCCUUAUCUGCAGGAUCUUUCUUCCAGAGAAAACUUUCACCUACACACAGGGGACCUCAUUCAGGGUUGUAAGCAAACCAAAAAAGCACACACCUGGACGAAACCAUGCUGCACCGCAGGUGGGGAAUGUGUAACAUGUGCAGAGAGAGUUAGAUUUGGGUGGAGUGUGUAAAAAAUAAAGCAGACAGUAUUUACCCUGCACUGAAACAAUAUAACCCACCCAAAUCUAAAUCUCUCUGCACAUGUUACAUCUGCCUCCCCUGCAGUGCCACAUUUUGUUUGCCCAGUUGCUUGCCUUUUUGGUUUGCUUCCACAUCUGGAUAAUCCCCAGAGAGUAAAUUUAAGGACUGAUUUGUUUUUUGGAACAUAAAAUUCCCCAUUUAUGUGAUAAGGAAAAAACAGGAAUUCAAGGUUGAAACUAAUUACAGGCAUUGCUUAUUGUUCUGCUUCUAUCUCUCAUAUAUGUAUGUAAACGUUACUGGGGGUCAGUUCUGCAUUUCUAUAACUGCCCCCACGCUGCAGGAUUUUCCUAUUCAGUAAUAAACAAGCAUUUCAUGUCUC